AGAGUUUGAUCCUGGCUCAGAACGAACGUUAGCGGCGCGCUUAACACAUGCAAGUCGUGCGAGAAAGGGGCAACCCCGGUAAAGCGGCGCACGGGUGAGUAACACGUAGGCAAUCUGCCCUCAGGUGGUGGAUAACUUUCCGAAAGGAGAGCUAAUACAGCAUGAGACCACGGGUCCGCAAGGACCUGAGGUAAAAGCCA
rnacentral:rRNA from 1 species